rnacentral:lncRNA from 1 species
CCCUAUUCCCUUACAUGAAAAAAACCCCAAAUCAGAGAAACUUCGACGGCGACAGAAACACACUAAACUUCAGAUUCUCCCACAUGACGAGAUGAAAAUGCCGGUGCCCAAUAUAUCAAUCAUCUAUAUGCUUGAGGUUCCCACCUUCAGUUGAUCGUUUGCUUCUUUCAUAUGUUGAAUCCGCAAGGUAAAAUCUCCACCGUAUUUAGGAAGAGUGUCCAUCUCCGACGCAGUUGCCUAUAGUUGGUAUGAAGAAAACCUUGUAUUUUAUUGUUCUCGAUUAACGACGGUAAAACCCAAAUUGUCAAUGUGAGUGUGCGUGUGUGUGUGUGUUUCAUUAUUUCUUAAAACCAAAUUGGAAAAAGAAAAGUAAUGGAGUUUGUGUGCAUUUCAUUAUUUUUUAAAAUUUAGUUGUUCAUGUGUUAGAAUGACAGGAAAAAUUUCGGAAUCUGCCAUAGCUGUAGAGAAAAGAGGCACUUCUUUAUUGAUUGCCCUAACAAACGACGAUGCCCCUCUGUAGACAUGGCUUUGUCAAGUGCCUUGAGGUUGAAAGGGAGACGAAGAACAAGGAAAAGUUGUACAAUUGCUACAGUGCUCACUGUAGAUACUGGGAAUGGGUCGAACUAGGAUAAUCAAGCGGCGAGUCUAGUACUGUUACCAUUAACUCGAAUAACUCAACAGCACUUGAAGAAGUUCAACAAAUAACUCACACGUUCCAAUCUCUUUGCUAGGAAGUGGAAGAACAAGACACCACCUAUGCCUGGUGUUUGGACAAACGAUUUAAAUUGCAUUUUGCAUGAUCUUAUCUUGAUCGGUAAUAAUUCCCUUGGGAGCUUGGUCAUGCAUGCACUGAAGUCAAGUCUUGAAAAGCCACACAAAUGUUUCUGAACUUUCGUUCGACAACGAACCACAACUGAGUAGCAUUGAUUGUCCGUGAUAAUUAAACCCAACAAAAAGACGCGAAUGACAUGUCAUACUUGUUAGCUAGGUACAUGGUAUCAAAUGUUACAACAUUAUCGAACUCUUUAUAUGCUUGCCUACUCCUAUUAUCAGUUCAAAAAAUAUUCCUCAACCCGCGACUCCUCAUCUAAAUCCAUACUAAAGUAAAAACCCGAACAUCUUGCUUGCAUGUUCGAAAAGCAGGCUUGUAUUGCUGCGGUAUCUCCGUCUCUAAGUCUUAACUGCCUNACUUGUUCAACAUAGUUUCAACAAUCCUUUUCUAUUCAAGUAAUGUUUUCGUACCCAUCCACUUCUACGACUGCAGCAUUGUGAGGAAUCCCUACCAUAUCGUUCAUUUCAAGCCAUCAUUUGACAUGGGCACUCAACACUCAGUUGCAACGAUACAACCUUGACUUCGAAGGACUUGUUCUGUAAUUGCGAAUGAGAUUGACUGUGUUAAUUCUCCAUAUUCCAUAUGCAUCUACAGAAGCAAUAAUUCUGGCUUUACAACUUGUCUGAAUGGUAACGUGUGGCUUCAAAGAACCACUUGUAUUUCUGCUUCUUCGUCCUUCGCAGCUACAUGUGAACACAACAUAUUUGACAACUCCAUCAUCAUCCUUUUGCGAAUUUCUUUUUCUAAUUGGAAACCCUACGUCAUACGCAUGUCUUUUGUAAAAAUGAAAUAUUUCUUUUUCAUCGUUGAACUCCAUACCCACAUCGAGCAUGGUUGCACCAUCUACUCCUAUAAUCCUAUCGCCCACUCCAUCUACUCCUACUAUUCCAUCCAUUACCAAGUUGACACUGUCCAAAAUAUCCUCAUUAUCGAAUUCUAGCGAAAUAUGUCCAUCCACAUCUUUCGAACUUUUAUUCAUUGCAAUAAAUAACCAAUUAAAGAAUGUUAAAACUAAUUCACAUAACUAAUUUUUUUAAUCAGGGCAAAUACAUCUCCAACAAAACCCCACCAAUUUUCCAUUAACCUAUUGAUGAAAAUUUGCAUUUAUAAAACGCACCUACACUAUCUCCCCCACAUAGUACACAGCCAGUAAAUUCACAUCCAUUCUCACAUUAACAGUAAGAAAGGGAAAUAUGGGAUGGAACAAAACCACACCUUUGUCUGUCAUCUCUUCAAAUCUAUUACAUCCGAUUCCCGUGGAAUAUCACCUCAGGGUUGGGUGGCCAACAGCAACUAAAUGUGGGAUGGGCAUCCGGCGCAGACAGUUUCACCUUCAGUUUCGUCGAUCACUAAAAACCUCUUUCAAACUUUCAAUUAUUUUGGUCUGGAAUGAAACCCGCUAUUUGUUUAUGAUGGAAGAUUAUUUGGGGUGGCGGCGACGAAAUAUGGGAUGGGCUGGCAAAUCAGACAGUCUCACACAUAGCUUCGUCAACCAUCGGAAUGAAUGGAAGAUUAAUUGGGGCGGGUUAUGUUUUCAAUUAUUUGGGGUGGUUUGGCGGGUUACAUUUGCCAUUAUUUGGGUGGUUUCUUGCUUUUUGCUUUUUCUUUCCCCUCCUAUAGUUACUUUCCACGUCAGCGUGUAAGGUAGAGUGUAAAAUGGAAG